AACGAACGCUGGCGGCAGGCUUAACACAUGCAAGUCGAACGGGUGUAGCAAUACAUCAGUGGCAGACGGGUGAGUAACACGUGGGAACCUUCCUAGGGGUACGGAACAACUCAGGGAAACUUGAGCUAAUACCGUAUACGUCCGUGAGGAGAAAGAUUUAUCGCCGCUUAGACGGGCCCGCGUCGGAUUAGCUAGUUGGUGGGGUAACGGCCUACCAAGGCGACGAUCCGUAGCUGAUCUUAGAGGAUGAUCAGCCACACUGGGACUGAGACACGGCCCAGACUCCUACGGGAGGCAGCAGUGGGGAAUCUUGGACAAUGGGCGCAAGCCUGAUCCAGCCAUGCCGCGUGAGUGAAGAAGGUCUUCGGAUUGUAAAGCUCUUUUGCCAGGGACGAUAAUGACGGUACCUGGAGAAUAAGCCCCGGCAAACUUCGUGCCAGCCGCCGCCGUAA
rnacentral:rRNA from 1 species